GACGAACCGUCCAAACGUUAUUCGGAAUCACUGGGCUUACAGAGUUCGUAGGCGGUCUGGAAAGUUGGGUGUGAAAUCCCUCGGCCUAACCGAGGAACUGCGCUUGAAACUACCAGACUCGAGGGAGAUAGAGGAAAGCGGAACUGAUGGUGGAGCGGUGAAAUGCGUUGAUAUCGGGAGGAACAUCAGUGGCGAAGGCGGCUGCCUGGCCCAAUACUGACACUCAGGUGCGACAGCGUGGGGAGCAAACAGG
rnacentral:rRNA from 1 species